AAGAGAGUAAUUUAAUGGUAAAAUAAUGAUCUCCAAAAUCAUCUUUCGUGGUUCAAGUCCCCGCUCUCUUG
rnacentral:tRNA from 1 species